rnacentral:rRNA from 1 species
UACGGGGGGAGCAAGCGUUGUUCGGAUUUACUGGGCGUAAAGGGCGCGUAGGCGGCCAUGCGUGUCUUCCGUGAAAUCCCUCGGCUUAACUGAGGACGUGCGGAAGAAACUGCAAGGCUCGAGUCCGGGAGAGGGGGGUGGAAUUCCCAGUGUAGCGGUGAAAUGCGUAGAUAUUGGGAGGAACACCGGUGGCGAAGGCGGCCCCCUGGACCGGUACUGACGCUGAGGCGCGAAAGCGUGGGUAGCAAACGGG